rnacentral:rRNA from 1 species
AUUGAACGCUGGCGGCAGGCCUAACACAUGCAAGUCGAGCGGAUGAAGGGAGCUUGCUCCUGGAUUCAGCGGCGGACGGGUGAGUAAUGCCUAGGAAUCUGCCUGGUAGUGGGGGAUAACGUCCGGAAACGGGCGCUAAUACCGCAUACGUCCUGAGGGAGAAAGUGGGGGAUCUUCGGACCUCACGCUAUCAGAUGAGCCUAGGUCGGAUUAGCUAGUUGGUGGGGUAAAGGCCUACCAAGGCGACGAUCCGUAACUGGUCUGAGAGGAUGAUCAGUCACACUGGAACUGAGACACGGUCCAGACUCCUACGGGAGGCAGCAGUGGGGAAUAUUGGACAAUGGGCGAAAGCCUGAUCCAGCCAUGCCGCGUGUGUGAAGAAGGUCUUCGGAUUGUAAAGCACCUUGAGUUGGGAGGAAGGGCAGUAAGUUAAUACCUUGCUGUUUUGACGUUACCAACAGAAUAAGCACCGGCUAACUUCGUG